AGAUUUUACCCAAAAGCAAGGAUUGCAGAGAUGUGGGUACAUGGGGCAGCAAAAUCUAUCUGUAAAUGGUAACAUUGGUAGGAAUUUAUCAUCUAGGAUAUAUCCUUUUGGCACAAAGACUUCUGUGCUUGAACUAACAAGGGAAGGAAAUAGUUCUGAGCUUAUACCAACUCAGCGUUUAGGUGACAUUCAGACGAUGCAUACAAGUGAAGCUAUCACAGAGGCUUCUGCCACAAUGCUAGGGGCCACAGGUUCCAUGGAAACAAUUAAGGAAGAUGGUAAUUGGAAAGAAGAGAGUAAAGUGCCUGGCAGCUUCAGCUUGGAGAAGGCAGAACUUGCAGACUUGAGCCAAGAUGUUAGUGAAAUCUUUUCUGAUUCUGACUUUGGGGAAGAAGCUUGUGUUCGGACUAUGGGCAAAGUGGAAAUGGGUGUUAAUCCAUCUUCACUUGUGGACAGAUCAUCAUCAUCAGAUAUGGAUGUACAAAGAAGGAAGAGUAAGGCUGAAACAGCGGAAGGCUCUCCUGUCUGUUUAUUUUCUGGACUGCCCAAAAGGGAAAAAGAAACCCAGAAUACUUGUUUAUCUCCAUUGAUAACUGUCUGGAAUGAUGCUUUGGACAAAAGUUUGCACGAUGAAGGUGCAUAUUCAUCCUACAAAGGUAAAGUGCACUCAAAAGUAGGAUAUACUGUUCCACAAGGAACUGAGAAUCAUAGAAAUGAAAAAAUAAAUAGCCCUACUGAUGAUGAGGAUGAUGAUGAUGCUGUCACAGUUCCAGAUAGUACAUCUCUCAAACUGAAAGCUAGCAGACUGCUUCAGAAAUUUCCACUCAGUAAGUGGACUUCAUGCGGGCAGAUAAAGCAAAAUAAGGUAGAUUAUCAACCACUUGGCCAUGCAGAGAAAACAGCCAGAAACUUCAAAAAUAGCAGCACUGACACCUGUCUGGUUACCACUGAAACAGAUGUGCUGCUUUUACCAUCUGCACAACCAGACAGUCCUCCUCUUGACUUGAGUCCAACACACCUUUCAGCUCCUGAUACCUCUUUGCUGUUGAAGGCCACAUCUCUUACCCCUUUGCAUGACACCUGGUUUCAAGAAGACCAGGCAGGUGAAUGGGAACAAACAACUUAUGGUGUUCAAGGUCCCUUGUCUAUGGGAUCAAAGCGAUCCUGUGCAGAGGUGGAGGCAUCAAGAAAAAUUGGUCUGCCCAAGUUUAAGAAACCAAGCCUUGUGAUAGGAAGUUGUUGGCCUAGCUCCCAGCAACAUCUGUGCCAUGAAUUGCUGUUUCCAAACAAGGAGGAUGUGGAAAAUCAAGCUACACCCCUUCGACAAAUCAGAAUUCCCACGUCAUUUGAUUCUGCACUGAUGUACAAGAACACCCUUAUUGCAGCUGUGACAGAGCAUUUGAAUGUUCAGCUGUUUGAUCUGGCCAAAUCUUACCAUUCUGCCAUGGCAGGCAUUGAUUUGUCUGAGUUCACUGCAGAUGCAAUCAAGAGUGGCAUCCCCAGUGCUGGGAACACUAACCCUGCAUGUAAAUGUGGCAUACCAUCCAAAGUAGUCCAAGUGAAGAAAGAAGGCCCCAACAAGGGCCGUCUCUUUUAUGCCUGUCCAGGCCCCAGAGACAAGCAGUGCAAGUUUUUUCAGUGGCUAGAUCAGACUGGUCCUGUUAGUACUACACAGCAGCAAAACUGCAAGAGCCAGUCAACCACAGCACUUGACUGCAGACGUACCAAGCUUGGGGAUGGUGACAGCAUCAUGACCUACUGCCAAGGCCACCGCCUGUCUCUGUACUGUCAGUGCCUUUUUGUAAUCCGUGCUGAAGAUCGGUUUCACAAGCAAGGGAAUCAUCAAAUUAGAACAAGACAGUGGGAUGAGAACGCAGUGAAGAAAAACAUCUAUAUCAAACUGCCAAAGAAAAUUUCUUCUUCUGUUAGUGCUAAAGAUGACUUGUGGAUAAUCUCAAGGAGCAUGAGCUUUGGGCAGCAGGAAACAUUUAUUGCACGCAGCACCUUUCACGGGCCAAACGCUAAUGGAGAAGUGGCUGUGGAGCCACUGAACCGCUUUUUACCUUCUGCUUGGAAUGAUGGAUGUCUUUGCUAUGCACUGCAUGCAGGGAAUGCAGCCACAGAGUUGGGAUGUAUAAUAAAUCUGCAGGAACAUGUCAACAUGACAACACUGCCCAUACUUCCUCAUCUUCUCACAAAUGUAAAGAAUGGAGGACUUAGUAAGAAUGCAGUCAGGGGUGGUUUCAGAGCUCCACUAGCCAUGGACCUGCCAUGCCAAACUUCAUCUGCCUGCCCAGUAUGUGAAAGAACUGGCUGAUGAAUUCAUAGCAAAUUACAAGCUUAACCAUGACCAAGGCACAGCACUGCAGAAAGUGGCAGACAUGAUGAACAAGGAAAGUGCAUCACUGCAGCCUAUCCUGCUAGUGCAUGGUGUAUUUGGUGCUGGCAAGAGUUUUUUGCUAUCCGUGCUGAUUUUGUUUGUGGUGGAGCUUUUUCAGCGCAAUGAAAGUUAUGCACCAGGUGUACCGUUUCCAUGGAAACUACUGUUGUCAUCUACCACUAAC
rnacentral:misc_RNA from 1 species